GAGCGGCGGACGGGUGAGUAAUGCUUAGGAAUCUGCCCAGUAGUGGGGGAUAGCCCGGGGAAACCCGGAUUAAUACCGCAUACGUCCUACGGGAGAAAGCAGGGGAUCUUCGGACCUUGCGCUAUUGGAUGAGCCUAAGUCGGAUUAGCUAGUUGGUGGGGUAAAGGCCUACCAAGGCGACGAUCCGUAGCUGGUCUGAGAGGAUGAUCAGCCACAUCGGGACUGAGACACGGCCCGAACUCCUACGGGAGGCAGCAGUGGGGAAUAUUGGACAAUGGGGGCAACCCUGAUCCAGCCAUGCCGCGUGUGUGAAGAAGGCUUUCGGGUUGUAAAGCACUUUCAGUAGGGAGGAAAACCUUAUGGUUAAUACCCAUGAGGCUUGACGUUACCUACAGAAGAAGCACCGGCUAACUCCGUGCCAGCAGCCGCGGUAAUACGGAGGGUGCAAGCGUUAAUCGGAAUUACUGGGCGUAAAGCGCGCGUAGGUGGUUUGGUAAGCGAGAUGUGAAAGCCCCGGGCUUAACCUGGGAACGGCAUUUCAACUGUCAGACUAGAGUGUGGUAGAGGGUAGUGGAAUUUCCUGUGUAGCGGUGAAAUGCGUAGAUAUAGGAAGGAACACCAGUGGCGAAGGCGGCUACCUGGACCAAC
rnacentral:rRNA from 1 species